rnacentral:rRNA from 1 species
UAGGGAAUCUUCCACAAUGGACACAAGUCUGAUGGAGCAACGCCGCGUGAGUGAAGAAGGUCUUCGGAUCGUAAAACCCUGUUGUUAGAGAAGAACACGAGUGAGAGUAACUGUUCAUUCGAUGACGGUAUCUAACCAGCAAGUCACGGCUAACUACGUGCCAGCAGCCGCGGUAAUACGUAGGUGGCAAGCGUUGUCCGGAUUUAUUGGGCGUAAAGGGAACGCAGGCGGUCUUUUAAGUCUGAUGUGAAAGCCUUCGGCUUAACCGGAGUAGUGCAUUGGAAACUGGAAGACUUGAGUGCAGAAGAGGAGAGUGGAACUCCAUGUGUAGCGGUGAAAUGCGUAGAUAUAUGGAAGAACACCAGUGGCGAAAGCGGCUCUCUGGUCUGUAACUGACGCUGAGGUUCGAAAGCGUGGGUAGCAAACA